AAAAAAUCCAUUAGAAAAUCAUAAAAUCACUAGGAAAAGAAAAAUUAUGCUUCAAUGAGUGGAAAAACAUUCAUCAAUUAUAAUCACCUGUACUAGUAGUGUAUAUAUAUUUAUAAAUUUAUGCUCUAAUAAUCAUACAGAUUAAAGAAAAAUAAGAGAAAUUAGAGAGAUUUUCAAUCUAAUAGCAAUCCCUUUCUCAUUUCUCUCCAUUUCUUUUCUUCUACAAGAUCAAGAAUAGUUCCAUAUCUUAUUUCAUUUCCAGGCUUCUAUAGUCCAAAACACCACUUUUCAUGGCUAAGAAGUCAUAGCCAGAGUUGCUACUGCUACUACUGCUUCCAAUACUAGGACCCAAAUUGCAACUGCAGUCUUUGCUGUUUUGUAGCCCCAGCCUGCAAGCAAAACAAAGACCUCUCGCUCCAGUUUUCAUCGGCUCUGGCUGCUGGCUUUGAUAUGGAAGGCUGAUUUUAAGCUCAAGAUUCAAGUCUGGACACCUUUCUUGAAUUGGGUUUUUUCCUUCUUUACAUACAACUGUAGUUGUGCAGCUAAUCUUGUCUUUUUCUUCUUUAACGUGGCUGAAAGAUAUUGUUUUUGUCGUCGUCUUUGCUGCUGCUUCCUGUGCCGGCUCGUUAAGUGGCCUGUGGGUUGCAGGAUCUAUUCCUCUGCUCAAAAGCUUUCUUCUUAUAUGUGUGUUCCAAUAAUUCUUUAUCUCAUUAUCUGUUCUUCCUGGUAAUCUCCCAGCUAUAAGAGACCAUCUACGAGAAAAUAAAAAACAAAGAAUACCCAUUAGCCUCAAGGCCCUCAACAAAUUGUGGAAGCAAAAUAUAUGUGUGUUUGAUGGGUUAGCUAGGCUCUUACUUGUUGCCAAGGAGGCUGUGCAGUUUGAUAAUGAGUUCAUCUUCUUCUUCGGUAAAAUUGCCACGUUUAAGGUCAGGUCUUAGAUAGUUGAUCCAACGGAGUCUGCAACUUUUGCCACAUCUAAGAAGGCCUGCAGCUUUGGGAAGAGAACGCCAGCAACCUUCACCAUGAGCUCUAAUAUAAGCAAUAAGGCGAUCAUCUUCUUCUUUGGUCCAUGCA
rnacentral:misc_RNA from 1 species